CAGACCAAUGGUACAGCUGAGAGGGCUAACCAGUCAUUAGAAGUUUAUUUGCGUUGUUUUAUUAAUAGCACACAAGACGAUUGGUCCGAACUACUCCCGUGGGCCGAGUUCGCUAGAAACAAUGCUGUUCAUGACUCCUCUGGGCACAGUCCAUUUUUUGUCAAUAAUGGUAAGCAUCCUACGGUUCUCCCUGCAGUAUUUUCUGAUACUGCCAUUCCUGCUCUGGAUGAGCGUUUUGCCUCCAUUAGGGAUACCUGGGUUAAGGUUCAAACUGCUCUAGGGGCUGCUGCUGAACGCUUCAAACAUUUUGCUGAUAAGCGUAGGAGUGCCAACCCGGUGUACCAAGUGGGGGACCGGGUUUGGUUGUCAUCUCGCAACAUCAAGCUUAAGGUCCCUAGCAUGAAGUUUGCCCCCAGAUUCCUUGGUCCCUAUAGAGUGCUUCGUAGGAUCAAUCCAGUCUCUGGCUCUUUCUGCAUCUUUAGGGAUUCCCAACACUUUUCAUGUGUCUUUACUCAAACCUCUUGUCUGCAAUAGAUAUACUGUUCCUUGUGUUCCUCCC